UCCUUCAUGCCCCCCCGUAUUUUUUUCACAAAACUCCGGUGAAAUGCCGACUCCCUUCUUCGCCUUUUUUGGGCAGCGCGCCUGACAAUCGCUGAACGAGCUGCUCGGGCACGGAAGACGCGCAGUCGGACCGGACCGGACCGGCAGGGGAAGGUUAUCCUCCGAGGCCUGUCCCACUUCUAUCCUUUGCUGUUCUCCUUGCCCUCUCGUUUCUCCGUCUUUCCUGGACUCCGGGGAGGGCGGGGGCGGGUCCUGAGCGGCCGGGGAAAGCCCACCUUCCUCAUUGUUAGGAGCCGGAGGAAUGCGAUGGUUCCGCCGCAGUGCGGGGAGGGAGAACCGGGUGAAGGAAGAGCCGUGGCUUGUCGGGAAGAGAAGCGAAAGUCGGAGGAUCUGCGUCCCUGCGCCGGAGCUGAGCUGAGCUGAGAAAAGCACUUUUCCCGUAAAGCGAGGUCAUUGCCCUUCAUGCUGACUGGCACUCCUUGUGACAAACUGCUGCACGAGUUUCACACAACGACAGGAAGACUAGGUCGUCUGGGCGGCAGUGGAGAACCUGGAAGGGCCCAGAUGCCCUUAGAUGGGGACGGUCCCCAACAGUGCAGCUUACUGAUAAAACAAGAGUGUGCUGACUGGUGAAACAGGGGCCAAAGUAGAUUAUCACAUUGUUGUGCAAAUGAAGAGCCAUCAGAGGGCUUUAAAGUGCAUCCAUCUGAAAUAAAGCCAACGCGAUGGCGGACUUCAAAGACACGACGAAUCGCCACCUACGGCAUAAGCUGCAGAGCCUCAGCCGGCGUCUCGAUGAGCUGGAGGAGGCGGCCAGCAAGCUCCAGAAGUCUGAGGAUGAGCUGCUGGACCUGCAGGACAAGAUCAUUCAGUCCGAGGGCAGUAGCUCGGCCCUUCUGAAUGACGUUGAUGCUCUUCGCAAGCGGGUGCUGAAGAUUGAGGGGAAGGAUGAGGAGGUGCGCAAGGCUGAGGACCUCUGCCGACUUGUGCGUGAGAAGCUGGAAGCAGAGGAGAACCUCACCAAAAACCUCAAGUCUGAGACUGAGCAACUGCAGAGGCGAAUGUCUGAGCUAGAGAAGCUUGAAGAGGCCUUCAGCAAGAGCAAAUUGGACUGUACUCAACUCUGCCUCAGCCUCAACGAGGAGAAGAAUCUGACCAAGAAGCUCUCUUCUGAGCUGGAGGCCCUCAAGGCACGAAUAAAGGAGGUGGAUUCUUCUGAGAGUCGCCUGGACAAGGCAGAGCAAGCCCUCACUGUGGAGCUGGAGAAGAUCAAGACCCUUACUCAGACCUUCGUGAGUGAGAGGAAGAGGCUGCUGGAGAAGCAGCGGGAGGAUGAGAAAUUGAUCCUUGAGCUUACGGAGAAACUCGAGAACAACAACAGGGUCAACCAGAGCAGGAACACCUCCAUUCUUCAGGAGCAGUCUACAGAUACUGGUGACCCUCGCAUUGAGGAUGAUCUGUCUCCAGGCUUGACUAGCAAACUUAGCCUUCAGAAAAAGAGCUUUGACUUGCUAAAACUCUCUGAUGAUGUUAGCCUGAGAAAUAAAUCAGAGAAUGAGAAGAAUAGUUCAGAGAACCAGGAAGAUAAUAAACUUAAAGAUUUAUUGCAAGAAAAUGAGAAGCUGAAAAACAUUGAUACUGAGAGGCUUCAGAAGUUAGAGGCAUUACAGGAGGAUCUUAAGAAGACAGAGUACAAAAAUGAAGAACUACUGGAGAAGGUUCAGCAGGAGAAGAAUCGUAGCAAGGCCCUGAAUGACCAAGUGGAAGAGCUGAAAAUUCAGCUCGGCACAUAUACUGGAGGUGUUCAGGACAGGGUGCUUGAAAAUGGAAAGGCAGAGAAUGAGGAGAUCAACGUGCGGGGAGGGUUUAGGCAAGAAAAACCCAAAUACAGGAGUCUAGCUGAGUCUUCAGUCUCCAGGCACAAAAUCAGAGAAGUUUCACCACAGCAGAGAAAGGAGAAACCACUGAGGACCCAGGACUUGGUAGAGAGCUCUCCCAAAUCCUCAAGGCGGGCCCUUAGUCCAGCACAUAAGCCCAAGAAAUUACCAAGAACGAAUCCCUCCAGUGAUUUUGGGAUGAGGGGGAGGACUCCUGAGGAAAGAAGCCCAAGUGGCACCUUGACCUCUACUGCUGUGUCGUUGGGUGACUGUAGGAAGCCUUCAGUGCUUAGCCGCUACCCUCCAGCAGCUAAUGACCAGAAACCCUGGAAGUCUGUGAAACCAAAUGAGAAUGAUAAAAGGGGCCAGGCUGACAAAUUCUCAAGACAUGGCAACGAUGAAUCCAGCAGUUCAGAUGUGCUGCUAGAAGAGUCACGGAAGGUGUCAAUCACACCCCCGCCUGAAAGGGAACUUUCGGAACAAUCACAGGACCCUACAGCGACAUCCAACCCCUCCAAAGCUAAUGGACCCUAUACUGCUUACAGGCCACGUGCAUCACAGCUGUUGCCAAGUGACCAGGGGUCUGAGGGCCACUCCUCAGCCUCAGAGACUGAGUCCACAGGGUCUAGGCGCUCAGCAGGAGAGGGAGAGCCCACUCCUGAUGUAACUGUGAUGAGUGGCAGGACCACUACUUGUAAGUACCCCAGGCACACACGCUUGCUGGAGUCUCGGUCUGGGGGCUCGUCCACAAGAAGUUCCUUUGAAGACGAUCAAAGUAGACCCCUAGUGGGAGAGACUAACUCCCAGGAACUGACGCACACUCCUUCGGGCAUUGAAAUUCGCAGAGUGUGUAGUCCAAGGGAAGCACUGAUGUCGAAGGCAGAAAUCAAACCGGCCAUUGUAGAGAUCGACAAGAAGGAGCUGAUGGUGUCUGUUGGCAGGGCAGAGCCUCUGCCGUCCAAUGGAAAGCCUAAAAUCUCUUCCAAGCCUUCCAUGCCUAGCAAGAUGACCAGCAGUAUCACAAUUUACCCCAGCGAUCCCAGCUGCUCUCGGAGCAGCAGUAGGAGCAGCAGUGUGUCAAGCGAACCAGCUAGAGAGAGGCACACAAGCAACAUCGUGAUAACCCCCAGUGAGCAUCGUGGCAGCAUCUCUAUCCCCUAUGAGAUCUCCAUCCCUAAGAGUGAGAUCACCCUCCGGCCUCCAUUGGACAGCGAAGACUGUGAUGUGUCGAGUGUCGAACCAGCUUGCUCAGAAGCCCAGACUCUACCUCAGCGUAGCUUCACUUGGAAGUCGCCGGAGAAGGCACCAGAUGUCAACAAUGACACUGAGUCUGGGUUUGAGAGCAGCAGCAGUACCGGCACCAACGCCACAGUGACAAGCUGGAGGUCCCACCAACCUCAUGGGUUGCGGGAUGAUUCUCUUCCUGAAAUGAAGAAUGUGACUGUGAGGAGCACGUGGAAGAAGAAGGGAGUGGCUUCGGUGGACAGCAGUGGUUCAGGAAGCAGGGUGGAUGGGUCUGAGGAAGAAGCGGAGUCUGCAACCACGUGGCGAGCAUAUCGGGCCACUACGGUACUGGAUGCGGAAGAUGCAGUGACCGCCAACCCCAGCGCCACAACCACUGUAGCGUCACGGACAGCCAAGCCAAGCCCGGCCGAGGUCUACAUGCGCAAGAUCAACAGUACAGCAGCCAGCAAGGAUGUCCCCGAACCCAUCCGGAGGAGCCGCAGCUCCCUCUCCCCCACUGAGGGGCUGAAGAAGGGUGUCCCCCAUGAGCCGGUUACCGCUCAGGAGUUACAGCCUUGGCACAGAGCACAGUCCCCGGCAUUAGAAGAGACUGGCGACUCAUCCAUCACCUCAUGGAGGAAGCAGGCGUCGGGAUCCCAGGGGUCCUCCGGGUGGACGUCCAAGACGCAGGCGGGCAGGGAGCGGGGGCCGGUGUCUUCACGGGGGCAGGGGGGCCGACCCUGGAGCCACCGGCAGACUGAUAACUAGCUUGGCCACACACCCCCAUCCCCGGUGCAGGUGUGAUCUGCAGACCCCCGUCCCUAUGAACCCACUUUUGUUCUGGAUCAUCUGUGAAGCAGCAACAUCUCAAAGUAUCUGCACACGAUUCUGCUGCCCGAAUGACCAAACGCUGCCCGAGCCCGGACCUCCUAGUGACCUUGCGGCCCGUCUGCAUCCUGCCUUUGCUGUAUUAUAUUCCAGCCAGCUGACAAAGGAAGGGCCCGUUUGGGGGGAGGGUUGGGCUUAGAGAAGGGCAGGGGUGGGCAUGGCCAAUGGCAGAUAAACGGACCCCGUGCACCGUGCCCGUCCUGGCAUGGACCCGGAGGAGACCCGUCCAGGUCAGUAGCAGACAGCGAGUGGCUCAACAUGUCUGUCUUACUCAUCGGACUUCGCUUGUCGGACCUUUUAAUGUGUUUCUUUUAUUUGACUUUCUCCCCACUGAACAUGAUGCUGACCAUUGCUGCCAUCUCUAUUACACUGUAUGUCAAACUAGGCUGUGCAGAGACUGUACAGAGACUGUAUGGCAUGUUCCGGAUGUGGGGUUUGCCCACGGAGAGAGCUCUGCACACCAGUCUCACCGUUUUAAAACUUAAGAGGCGGGAAAGUGACUCUCGUUCUGAUGUGUGAAGGCAGGUUCAUCAUCAAAGCGACUCCCCUGAGAACCAGGUAUUCUGGUUUCGAUAAAUCCUUUGAUUGGCAUGCGGAGAGGUUUGGCCUCCAUUCUGUUUCUGUGUAAUGAUCCGGGUUAAGAGGUCAAAGGUCAGAAGCUUUGGUCAGCGGCAGUCCCUGUCACCUUGUGGUUCAUGCCGAGGUCAGGUGUGAAGAUCCCCGUCUGGAGUUGGUGGUGGGAGGGAGCUAAAGCCCCCCCUGCACACGUUCACUGUGGGAUGCUGUGAGAUGGCCUGUUCCCUGACACCCCCCUCAGGUCUGAAUUGCCCCCACCCAUUUUGGCCCACUGACUGUCCUAGAGGGGCAUAUGGGUCUCUGGGUCAGUGUGGUGACUGCGGUUAUGAGCCCUGUCACUGAGGGAGUCACUGAGGGAGUCACUGAGGGAGUCACUGAGGGAGUCACUGUGACUGUACUGCUGCUCUCUGUCCUGUCUCUCCUGUUUAUUGUCUGGCUUUUAGGCAGGACGUGAUCUGCCACAGGUGUCGGGUGACUGAGCAGCAAUGGGGCCCUUGCCUGGCCCCGGGGCUGUCCAUGUCCCCCCCACCUGCAUGCCCUUCACCAGCAGCCCUGUACGUCCCCCCGGCCCCCACACUGCUCUGUAAAUUCUGGUUAGAAUUGCAUCUGCUCUGUGUACAAAGUGUAAAAACAAAAACAGUCUGUCUCCCUGUUUGUAGUGCACUGUUAUUGGCCCAAACCAGCCAAACAUACUUAUGUCUCUUCCACCUGAUUUCCCGCCCCCCCCCCCCCCCCCCCCCCCGGGGUUGUAAAUGGAUUAAUGAGUCAGAUUUGAAGUAGCCUGUUUUGCAUAAUGAGCCCCUCCCUGAUCAGAGUUUCUAUGGGCAGCACAGGCACCUGGCCCAGCUCCGACCCCCCAAAAGACUGACUAGGUGCCCUGCUGCCCCCCCCCACCUGUAGCUGUCCCCGUUAGAGUCUGUCUCGUUGCAGUAGGUAAUCAGGGAGGUGCCAUGUUGGGGGGUGAUGAAGCUGUACAGAAAUCCCCCCUGAAUAUAUUUGGGGGGGGGGGGGGCGGUUGUUGUAUGUAAGGGAACCCAGUGAAACAACUGCACUGGCAAAGGUGCGUGUGUGAGAGAGAGAGAGAGAAACAUGCCUGGGUGUGGGUGUUUGUGCGUGUGUGUGUGAGGGAGUGAGGGAGGUAAAUGUGCCUGGGUGUGUGUGUGUGAGUGAGUGAGUGAGGGAGGUAAACACGCCUGGGCGAGUGGCAGCCUUGACCGCCUCUGUGGCCCAUUCCAUGUAAACGGCCUUUGCACCAUGUGCCAAAUCCAUUCCAUAGUAUUAGAGUUUACAGUGAAAUGUUUACGUGGGCAGAUGGUCAGUCUUUCAGACCAGGGAGAUGAGAUAAGGGGUGACCCUCUUUUUUUUGUAUGUUUUUAAAUCUAAAGAAUCUUAUUUUGGAAGCUGUUGCAUUUUAUUUAAGCUCUUGUUAAUUUUGUAAAGUGGGCCUUGUUUAAAUACGCUGUAUGUAUCUCUCACUUCUGUUCACUCCUGGGGAGUGACUUUGUUGCUGCGUCUCCCCUGCACACUCUCUCCAUCAUAACGUAGGACAUGCUAAAGCGAUGCUGUAUUGUUUAUUCAGAACAGGAUGUAAUGCACAUGAUUAGCAACAGUGGGGCUGCAGUGAGGCAUGAUGGGAAUCUGUCUUCCACGUUUCUGUCCCCAUCCAUUCAGGGCUGUUUCAUUAGUAACAUGUUUGUAUAUAGAGAGCUGCCAAAGACAGAGGUUUGUAAAGGCCCCUCCCCGGCAGAGACGGACCGCCGUUAGAAGCAACGGGACAGCGGGCCCUUUUGGCCGUGCGGCCAUUGAGGACGAGGAGGGUCACAUGACUCUCCGCUUCCCAUCUUCUGCGGCUGUUUCUGCAUGUUUAACCUCUCCCAGGCCUGCAUGUAGGACUCAGAGGCUGCCUGCCACCUGUACAGCAGAGUAUGUAUUCAAAUAAAAGCCUACAUUAAGAAGCUG